UGGCCAAUCAGAAGCAAACACUAAUUCUUGGUAUGUGUUUGGAGAAAAAUGCUUCAUCUCGAAAUAUUAGUGUGAGCAUCUUUGCAAGUCUUGCAUCUAAAGCUCAAAGAAUAUUUUCCUCGGCUACUCAAUGAAGUCUACGAUCUACAGAGUGAGUGUGAUUAAUCAACAGAAGGUGAUUGUAAGUCUGGACAGGACAUUGAACGACACUUUGCUCCAAGCUGUUAAAGGUGAUAUUAUUGGUAUAAUGAUGAUUCAGAUCCAAGCAGAAUCUCUUUGCAAGGAUAAGGAUUAUUAAAGAAAUCUCAGCAACAGCUUAGGGGGAGCAUUUGGUAGAUCCACUAGUCAAACUCAACACCACACAAGAUGAACAGGACAUAUCAAGAACGUAUCUGCUUAGACAAAAGGUUUGGAGUCAAUAUCAUUCCCGGGUUCUAGUUCUUAAAUGUUCCUAACGGUGAAGUUAAGACUGGGAGAGCUAUUGUGAAAGGAUGUUAUUUCUUUGAGUUUCAAUCUGAAGUGAAACUUGAGGAAUAUUCAGAAGCUCUUGAAGGGAUCCGGAUUGAGUGAUUGCAGAGCAAGAUGAUCUCAAUCAAGUUGGAAAGCAGAUUGUGCGGAGUCUGAUACCCUGACCUAAUGACAAUUCAUUACUUAGUACUUGUCGGGUAUUUAGAUUCCAACUGGAUGUUUUUGGCUCUGUUACGAGGGACAAGCCAAUUUGGUUGCUUAGAGUUAUUACAAAGGAGAAGGUUAUGAAGAUGAUGGAAACAGAAUCUUCAAGUUCAGGACUCUACAUCUUAGAGGACUUAACGACCUUCAAAAUUGAACUAAAGCGCCAUUGACGAGACUCGGGU
rnacentral:lncRNA from 1 species